rnacentral:sRNA from 2 species
CCACCGGUCAUUGGGGAGUAGCCGCCUUCCAUUGCGAGAAGGGUGUGCGUCAACAGACUUGUCCGGCUUCGUGCGGGACAUGGCGCAGACAGUGUUCCACCUGGCGAGACCUUUGACCGUGCAACUUCGGGUGUGGCCGAAGGUGUUGCACGGUCAAUUGCGUUCUCUUCGGCCCAAGGAAU